UACGUAGGGCGCAAGCGUUGUCCGGAAUUAUUGGGCGUAAAGAGCUCGUAGGCGGCUUGUCACGUCGGGUGUGAAAGCCCGGGGCUUAACCCCGGGUCUGCAUUCGAUACGGGCUAGCUAGAGUGUGGUAGGGGAGACUGGAAUUCCUGGUGUAGCGGUGAAAUGCGUAGAUAUCUGGAGGAACACCGGUGGCGAAGGCGGCAUUCUGGACCAUAACUGACACUGAGAGACGAAAGCCAGGGGAGCAAACGGG
rnacentral:rRNA from 1 species